GACGAACGCUGGCGGCGUGCUUAACACAUGCAAGUCGAACGGAAAGGCCCUGCUUUUGUGGGGUGCUCGAGUGGCGAACGGGUGAGUAACACGAGAGUAACCUGCCCUUGACUUUGGGAUAACUUCAGGAAACUGGGGCUAAUACCGGAUAGGAGCUCCUGCUGCAUGGUGGGGGUUGGAAAGUUUCGGCGGUUGGGGAUGGACUCGCGGCUUAUCAGCUUGUUGGUGGGGUAGUGGCUUACCAAGGCGUUGACGGGUAGCCGGCCUGAGAGGGUGAUCGGCCACAUUCGAACUGAGACGUGGCCCACACUCCUACGGGAGGCAGCAGUAGGCGAUCUUCCGCAAUGCGCGGAAGUCUGACGCGGCGACGCCGCGUGACAGCAGGAGGUCUUGGGGUCGUAAUGCUCUGGUGUUAGGGAAGAACAGCGGGUAGAUUAACUGCUAUGCGUGUGACGUUAACUAAACAGAAAGCAACGGCUAACUACGUG
rnacentral:rRNA from 1 species